CGGCACGCCGCUGCCCAGGCCCCGCCCCCUCACCCCCGCGCUGGGGAGCGGUGGCCCGGUCCGACGCGCUGCGGGCCCUGCCUCCCUGCCUGCCGCUCGCCCUCCCUCUUUCCAUCCAUCCAUCGUCUCCUUCUGUUCCCGCUCUCCUCGCUCCUUUCCUGCCUUGGCACUUCUGUUUUCUCCUCUCCUUAGCGCUCCUCCAUUUUUCAUCUACUUUUUCCGCCUCAGGUUGUCCACUUUUUCUUUUUUUUUUUUGAGACGGAGUCUCGCUCUGUCUCCCAGGCUCUAGUGCAGUGGCGCGACCUCGGCUCACUGCAAGCUCCGCCUCCCGGGUUCACGCCAUUCUCCUGCCUCAGCCUCCCCAGUAGCUGGGACUACAGGCGCCCGCCACCACGCCCGGCUAAUUUUUUGUGUUUUUAGUAUAGAUGGGGUUUAACCGUGUUAGCCAGGAUGGUCUCGAUCUCCUGACCUCGAGAUCAGUCCGCCUCGGCCUCCCAGAGUGCUGGAAUUAUAGGCGUGAGCCACCGCGCCCCGCCGGGUUGUCCACUUUUAUCUCCUCUUUUCCUUGAUCCUCCUCCCCUUUUUUUCUCCUCUUCCUUCUCCUUAAGCCUUCGCCUGUCAAUCACGUCGAAACACAGGUAUUUGACCGGAGCCAGUAUCUUGAUCUGCCUAAAGGACAAGACAUUCAAUCGUGAACAGUCGAAUAUUAUUCCUUCCUCAAUUAUACAGAAAAAGACUUCCUGCAGUGAGGACAGCGGGACCAGACACGCGUAUUCACUCUGGUGUUGAGUGACCGGCCAGCACGUUCCAGAAUCCAGAGAGAUCUCAGGUCCCUGGGGCUGAAGUGGCUGGGAAAAGCUUCCUGAAGGUCCUUCCUGAGAUAAAGCUGGAAAGAGGGGCAGGCUCUUUCUACAGAAUGCCGAUUGGUGCAUUUUGCAAUCCUCUUGUAAGACAGAAAAGUUCUCCAAGUCCCCACUGGAUCCAGGAAGUCCAGCUGGCUUCACCUCUCACUAGGGGCACCUGCAGGAGACUCAGCAGAUGUGGGCAUCUUUGACAGAAUCUCACUCCAUCACCCAGGCUGGAGUACAGUGACAUGAUCUCAGCUCACAGCAACCUCCACCUCCUGAGUUCAAGUGAUCCUCCUGCCUCAGCCUCCCAAGUAGCUGGGAUUAUAGGCAUGCGGCCACCACGACUAGCUAAUUUUUAUAUUUUUAGUAGAGACGGGGUUUCACAGUGUUGACAGGGUAGUCUCAAACUCCUGACCUCAAAUGAUCAUCCGUCCUCAGUUUUUCAAAGUCCUGGGAUUACAGACGAGCCACUGCACCUGGCCUCAUUGAUUCUUAUCAUUAACUUUUCAAAAUUUUUGCAAAUAGCUUUUGUGUGUGUGUGUGAGAGAGAGAGAGAGAGAGAGAGAGAGAG